rnacentral:lncRNA from 13 species
AGAAACAUUCUCAGAGACCUACAUCCAGACAGGAUGAUCACAGCCAAUGUAUGUUCCAAACAAAAUACAUCAAACACUGCACACAUUACUAACACAACUACACACAUGCAUGUACAGUCACAAAUUGUAUUUACAUUUUAAUUUUGUUUAUGUUGUAGGUGAUUUGGUGAUGGGAGCUAUGAGCAGUGCAGGCAUGUUGGAUUCAAAGGAUGCUGGGAUCUAUUCUCUCGUCACCUCUGUACCGUCCACGUUUUUGCCCUCAGGCCCUGUUGAAGAGAAUGGACAGUCAUCUGAAAAAGACAAUUCUGAUACGUACCACGUAUACAGCUCAAUCCCCGACCGACCAGCAACAUCAGCCCAGCCGGAUGGGUUGUACAGUCUUCUGCAAGCACACUGACACUACACCACUGGCUCUCUGUAGCUAUUUCUCACAGAAAUACUCUUUCUUGCAGGAUGACCUUUAUUUAUCAAACAUCAUGUUACUGUAAAUAAGUAUAUAAUACAUCUGCUGCAGUACCGUUUCUAUUUAUAAGCAACAUAAGUGGCUGCCAUCCCAUAGCAAAAUGUGUAGAACUGCAGGAAAUAAGCUUUAAAACUGAAUUUCUUUCUACCCCAAGGCAUAAUGUGUACAAAUGCGGGAAAUUAGCUUUAUAACUGCAAAGUUCCCUCCGCCCCAUGGCAAAAUGAGUAGAAUUGCAGGAUAUUAACUUUAAAGCUGCACAUUUUUCACUAAAAUGUUUUUCUCGCUUAGGGCCCCGAAAAUGCUAGAAACUGCCCUGAUUUUCUGUAGCACACAUGGACACCUGGCUUCGUUUACUGUUUUAGUAUUUUUAUUUGGGGGUGUUGGAGGGGUCCGGGAAUACUCCCCAAAAUCUUGAAAUCAAAAUAGAUCAAAAUGAAUAUUUAGGUUUUAACAUUUUUUACAUCGUUGGUAACAUCAACUCUGAAAAAUAUAGAUUUCCUAAAUGCUUAAAAUCUCCCCAGUACCCCAUGCGUACAUGUUAUUUGACGUCAAUUUACUCAGCACUUCAGAGUCUCCCUUUCAAUGUGCAGUGUUGUAGACACAUUCUACCAUUGUAGUUCAAUGACUGCAAAGCAGUUAAGUUGUAAAUGGUGUGAGACCAUACCUUUCAUGCCAAUUAUUUUCUCCAGUUAACUUUGGAGAUGAGCCUAUUUUGACCAUCCUGAUCUCGCGAGCCUUAAUUUGAUCCUAAACCUGUACAGCAAAAAUUAAUCCUGCAGCAAAUGAAAAUGUGAAUUAACAUGUGGAUUGUAAUUAUUGGACAUUUUUGUAGGGGUUAAUACAUUCAAACCUAAAUACACUAUACAUUUGCAUUUCCUGCUGUACAGGAAAAUUCUCAUAAAAAAAUAAUGAUCAAAUUAAGAUCCUACAUCUGUACAAUGUUUCGAAACACACUAUAGCCCAACAGUAAAGAUGGUGGAUCAGGCUAUGGGGAUGGCUUAUUUUGUUUAAAAAAGUGGUGGGUCCGCCCUCACCUCCUAAUCCCUCUUCUAUAAGAUUCUUGAUAUACAGUAAAUACAAAAUCAUACACUUUUUUACUCUGUUCGAAACGCUCUCUUCUGUAAAACAAAAAAGCAUGCAAAAUACAUUGAAUUCAACCAUUCCCCCGUCUUUGUUAGUAUUUUACAUUAUUUGAUUUUGAUCUUGAUUAUUCAAGAUAAUGCUAAAAAUAUGUACUGUUAUCAAUGUCAUUGUUUUCAGGCCGUUGGUGAAGAUCAAGGUGCUAUUUUCCCUAAACGUUUUUUUCAGUCCAUAUAACUACCUUGUCAUCUUAACCAAACCUCUUUUGGUCUGUUUCCCAGAGACAGUUUAUGCUUAGUUCUGGACUAAAAAGCAUGUUCAAUGGAAAAGUUACAUAUUUUUGGUAAACUUAAUCUGGGUCUGGGAAACCAACCAUUGGUGUUAUGGACUACAGGUAGUCAAGGACAUUGAUAAUUUUGCAUCCAGAUUCUCUGUAUUGUGGUUAGUUCUACUGUGAGGGGGCAAAGAUGACUACAUUCUCCUGCAGCAGUCACAGACAGUUUGCAGAUCACAUACCAACCAGUUCAUGUAUGCUGUCACGUAUCUACACCUACAAACAGGUGCACGAGUGCACAAUAAACACAAACCACAGCAGGGUGGAAAGGAUGACAUCUUGUCCUCUUGAAACUUCAGCCUAUCACAUUUGUGACUCGUUUCAGGAAACUAGGCAUAUGUCAGGCGUCACUACUUCACAGGAGAGGCAUUGACUUUUAAAAAAAUCUAAAUGCAUUUUUUGGGCAGAAAUGCCAUCUGGAACAUGUAUGCUAUCUGUAAAUAUGAAUACAAUUGUUAAAUGAUGAACCUACUUGAUUUAGCCACGGAAAAAGACAGGAACAUUGUGAGAUGGUGACACAGAUAUGGCAGCUCUGCUUCUAGCUACUAAGCAACUUGGCAGUUAUUUCUUACAUUAUUACCCCAGGAAAUGUUUUGUGUUAUUACAUACAGAACUAUUCGAUAUCAGAGCGGCGGUAACUCACCAGCAAAAUUACCGGGAAUACUUUCUCAAAUUGGAUCCUGUGUUCGUACCCCCCGGGUCAAUUGAACUGUUUCCAGAGGCUGAUCCAAAACAAUGCCAUUGGAGAAGAGGUAUUCGGACUUCUAGUCCAACUCAGGUGGCGCGCACACCAUCCACCGCUUCCAAGAAUAUUACUCGCUAAUGUUCA